GUCUAUGGCCAUGCCACCCUGAACGUGCCCAAUCUUGUCUGAUCUCGGAAGCUAAGCACAGUCAGGCCUGGUUAGUACUUGGAUGGGAGAUCACCUAGGAAGACCAGGUGCUGUAAGCG
rnacentral:rRNA from 1 species